AUUUAGCGUGCGUGCGAACCACCUUUUCAGUAAAUACAUAAUGUUCACAUCAAACUCGGUAACGAAGACAUUUUAGAAUGCAUGCACUCUAAUUAAAAUCUUUUAAUUUGUUUCCUCGGUUUUCGUACAUUUUUUAUUAUUCGGCGGCCGCACAAGGCGUCGCUUGCGGCGCCGGUCGGCCGCUUACGCCCAUUCUUUCCUCCGUUGGCUCCUCGCAUUUUUCCACGACGUCGAAAUAAAUUUCUUAAAAUUUAUUUAAGCGUAUAAUUAAAUUACCGCACUAUUUCUCUUCGCCAAUAUAUAUUCAUUUCGGACUUAGGAUAGAAAUCCUCGUUCUUUGAAUAAGAAAUUAAUUUAAUAAUUUCCCAAAAUUAAAUUAUUGGCCCAAGAUUAAUUAUUUUCUUAGUCCAUCUUAUUUCUCCAAUUAAAUUUUAAAGCCCCAAAAAAAACUCAACAACACUUCAAAUUUUAAAUUGAGAGGCCCAACUCUUUUAAAACAAACCAUUGGCCAAUUUUUUUAAAAAGAAAGCCCAGUUUUUUUUUUAACUCCCAUACGCCCCCACGUCUCUCUCCCUUCACCUCAUUCCAUUUUCUCCCAAACUCAAAGAAUCCCCAAAUUGCAGAGCCCUACACCCGCCGCUUAUAAUCAAUUGGCUCGCCUGGCCAUCGUCGGCCGUAAUCGCUGUAGGAGAGGAGACGACACAGCCGUCGCUGCUGUCCCUCGCCAGCCACCGCUCGCCGAGAAGCGCCGACGCUGCUGUCACGGGGCAGUCGGCGUAGUCGACGCUGCUGCUGUUCCCCAACAGUCGCCGGGUCAGCCUUCACCAGCUCCGCUGCUGCUGUCUCCCCGGCAGAAAUCGCCGCUGCAGCGAGAGGGUGGUCGCCAUUUAGCCGCUGCUGCUGUCCACCUUUCAUUGAUGCUCAGUUAUCUCUCGGACAGCCUCGAAAUGGCCCCGAACAGCCCCGAAACGGCCCCGAACAGUCCCGAUAAGAUAAGUUCUUUACAUUUCGUUACAUUCUUUCGCAUUUCAUUUAAUUACCGGGGAAGGGGUGUUGGAUUGUUUGAGAAUGAUUGAUUUGUUUGAUCGGUGUUACUUGUGUGGGAGAUUGAUGUGUUGAUGAUAUGCUAUGUAUAACAAAGAUCACAAGGGAAGGGAUUUAUCCCUUCUAUGCUAAGAACUUGACCGUGAGGUUUGUAGGCUGAAAAGGGAGACUCCUUGAACUUGGCAGAUUAAAUUUCACGUCUGGAAUUGAAUUGAGAAUUUGGCAGCUCUUCAAAUUCUCGCUUUCUGUCGUGAAUCCGUGACUUGUAGUGAAUUAAAGAUGGAAGAUGAAGAAGUUUGAAAUUGGAGAGUCUCCAUAGAAGGGGUAUCGGCCAAGAGGGAGAAGGAAGAAGAAAGGAUUUUGGGCUUGCUCCCAUUUUUGGAAAAGAAUUGGACUCCUACACUUUAAUUAAAUUGUUUUGGGCUCAUUUGGUUGUAAGGCCCAAAUUUGUAUCAUUCUUUAUUUGUUAGAUUUUUUUAUUAUUAUGGCCCAAAGCCAUUUUUAUAUAAACAUUUGGACUUCAAAUUUUAUUAAUUAUUUCACGACAUAUAUUUAAAUUAGUACUUAAAAAGUACGGGGUGUUACAGGUA